GCUUUUACGAACAAGCUAUUGAAGUCAAAAGAACAAGCAAAAGAAUACACCUUUUUGAUCAUCGAAGAACUCAACCCUAAAAAUUUCGGCUACAUCACGGUACAGCGUGCUUCCAAUCAUAGCCCAAAUCAUCAAGGACAUGCCUCAACAAUUGAAAGUGAGGCUUCUAGAGGAAGUGGGAGAGCAUGAUAGAGAACAGAUAUUGUCUGGUGCAACAACAUAAAGGAUGACAACAAUUGAGGAAAUGGUGGGCAUGUAUGUGUUGUGUGGUAAGAAGACAAGAACAUUAAGCAUGUUCAACUGAAAGGAACAUUAAGUAGUUUCUGAAGAACUGCAAUAUGCUUUACAGGAUUAAGCGGGCCCCAAAGUCCUUUUUAUUCAAUUAUAUAGAAUUCAAAAUGGAUUUUACAGUCUGCUUGCAGUUGUUGGUGUGUUGUUCACAGACAUGCAAUAGUUUUUUUUUAAACUCUUCGUCUUAUUUCUGUAAAAUAGGAGAGAGAGUUGGUCUCAUUUUUGUAAGAUAAUAUUUCUCUGAGCUGAUCAACUGUUGCUAAAAUUACCUUUUAGAUUCCUAUAUUUGUGAAAGGGUACGAAAAAGAUCCGGCAAUUGUAGUAAAUGAAGCUAUCCAGAAGGCUACUCGCAAUAAAUUGGAUGUUGUUUUUGUAGAUAUAGCU